UAUGCCUGGACGUAACACGGCACCACCCCGCCCGCCAAAUAACUACGAGUGAAAACUUAAAACUUAAAAGACUUGACGGUACUUCACACCCAACCUAGAGGAGCCUGUCUACUAACCGAUAAUCCACGAUUAACCCAACCACUUCUAGCCACCCAGCCUAUAUACCACCGUCGCCAGCCUACCUUGUAAAAGAAACAAAGUGAGCCAAACAGUACUACACUAACACGACAGGUCAAGGUGUAACUAAUGAAGCGGACUAAGAUGGGCUACAUUCUCUACCCCAGAUUACACGAACAAGGCUAUGAAACUAACCUUUAAAGGCGGAUUUAGCAGUAAGCUGAGAACAAAAUACUCAACUGAAACCAAUGCAAUGAAGUGCGUACACACCGCCCGUCACCCUCUGCAGUCACUUUA
rnacentral:rRNA from 1 species